rnacentral:lncRNA from 1 species
GAGUGCCGGCAGCUGAGAGCACAGCCCUGCACAAGCUGUGCCCCCGCUCCCCUUCCCCAGUCCUAUCUAAGGCACUCUGUGAGCCCGUGCCCCCAGCACAGGCCAUCACUAAGGGCUGCAGUUGCUGAAGAAGAAGAAGAACGCCUAGGAGAGACGGGUGAAGAAGAGAAAGGAGAAGAAAUAAGAUGAGAAAAGCAGUGCGGAAGAUGCCAGUGAAGAGCAGGGAGAAGCAGCAGCCUCCAGCAGGUCAGGCAAGAAACUGCCCCUCCCAGAGCAGAGUCCCAGAGAAAGGAAGAAGUGCCGAGUUUUGGCCACAUGGUGGCAGCACCGACCUGCUCCCGGCGCCUCAUCGCUGCUUCCCCCACGUGCCGUGCCGCGAUUUGGA